AAGACCAAAAAAUAAAUAAAUGAAAAUAGAAAGAAGACAAAAGUUCUCACGAGCAGCUCCAUAGGACCACUUCACUUCAUGUCCUUCCAUGUGGGCAAAUAAAAUAAUGUUAGAUGUUAUCUAGUAAAAGCAGUCAUUUGGUGUUGCGAGACAUGUUUCCCUAAUCUUCUUCCUUGAUUGUUGAGAGACAUGUUUCUCUAAUUUUCCUUGAUUAUCUACCAAUAGCCCCUCCUCACGUGAUCUCAUUUAAGAAACACAAUAAAAGCGGUGUGGUUGCUGGAGAGGGGGCUCUUGGUCCCUGAGACCUUGAGCCUCCUGGGUUCCCACUUUUUCUCUCUAUGUCUUGUUAUUUUUGUGUCUUGUUGUUUUGUUAUUUUUUCCUUAAGUUCCGUAGCACCUGUUCUUCAGCGCCAUCCUGCUGAGCUGGCCUCGGCAAUUUGGGAGGCAAAGCACCGGCCCAGACACACAGCUCUCCAAAGGUCUCUCUUGAUCUCGAAGCAUUCCUGGUGUGGAACCUUAGAUCUGAACAAGCCCUCCAAGUGAUUCUGGUACUUGCAGUCUGGGGAAUCAUUCCUUGGAAAACUGUGAAUUAUGAGUCUUCUCUCUAAGGUCUUACGGGUGAAUUGAAUUGGGGUCAACCGGUAAUAACCAGAAUGGCUGCCUCCCUGUCAGCAGUCAGGGUGCUGGAUGAAGAUGGGAAAGGGGAGGAAGAAGGGACCUGCUGCUGUUCCCGCGUGCACCCCACCCCCAGGAGCAGCCCUUCAUCAUGGCACCUGCAGCUUGCCCUCCCCUAAAUCUGGGGAUGGGGAUGAGAACUUGGAACUAAAAGGGAAACCUCAGCCUCAGGAAAGCCAUCCUCUCAGCCCACAGUGGCUUCCACUUGGAUGCUCCGCUCUGUAUCUGGUCCAUCACUUUGUCUUUCUCGAGAGUUUUCUCACUGAGCUCUCUGGUCAUCCUCCCACCUCACUGGCCACACCUCCAGCUUCACUGACUGUUACUCUCGUUAUUGGCCUCUAAGGCUUCGAGUGCCCAAACUCUUCUCUGAGAAGGACCCAGGUGCUGGGAUAGUUCUGCAGGCACCUUUUCCAGCACCCUGGCUCUAUUGCCACUCUGAGUGCCAGUACUUGUGACCUGGUGCAAAGAAUCCCCUCGUCUAGAACUCAUUCCCACAGGCAGAAAAGGAGAACAGGAAGAUCCCAGCAGCCUUUGCCUCCAAGGCCUCAAAGAGCCCUAAUGAUCUUCAGGACCCCCAGAGACUUGGCUAAAGAAGACUUGGCCCACGCUGAUCUCGGCUGACACAGCUGUGUGGAGCCUGCACCACUGUGCCCUCCCAGAGACCCCCGUUGUUGCACCCCACCAAGCUGGUGCCCUCAUAGCCACCUCCAAGAGAAAUUCUUUCCCACUGGAGAAGUUCUGGGAAGGCGGGGAGAGGGGGCUGCUCCCUCGCCUUACUACUCUGGCUGGUGGCAACGGGCUGCCCUCGAAGUAUAUGUUGAAGCCCUAACUCCCAGCACCUCAGAAGGUGACUGUAUUUGGAGCUACGACCUUUAAAGAGGCAGGAAGCCACGCUUUGGACGGCUAUGCUCUGGGACCUCCCUCCUGUCCACGCUGCCCUUGUUCAAGGCCUUUGUCCAUGUGGCAAAAUCAAUUAUGCAACUAAAGGAACAUCAGGCUCCAGCAUCUGUUAAGAAGACAGCCUCGUGGAGACCCCUUAGCCAGCUCCCGUAAUUAUG